GCAGGACGGUGGCCAUGGAA
rnacentral:ncRNA from 3 species